AGUGAACGCUGGCGGUAGGCCUAACACAUGCAAGUCGAACGGCAGCACAGUAAGAGCUUGCUCUUACGGGUGGCGAGUGGCGGACGGGUGAGGAAUACAUCGGAAUCUACUUUUUCGUGGGGGAUAACGUAGGGAAACUUACGCUAAUACCGCAUACGACCUACGGGUGAAAGCAGGGGAUCUUCGGACCUUGCGCGAUUGAAUGAGCCGAUGUCGGAUUAGCGAGUUGGCGGGGUAAAGGCCCACCAAGGCGACGAUCCGUAGCUGGUCUGAGAGGAUGAUCAGCCACACUGGAACUGAGACACGGUCCAGACUCCUACGGGAGGCAGCAGUGGGGAAUAUUGGACAAUGGGCGCAAGCCUGAUCCAGCCAUACCGCGUGGGUGAAGAAGGCCUUCGGGUUGUAAAGCCCUUUUGUUUGGAAAGAAAAGCAGCAGGUUAAUACCCCGCUGUUCUGACGGUACCCAAAGAAUAAGCACCGGCUAACUUCGUG
rnacentral:rRNA from 1 species